GGGGAAUAUUGCACAAUGGGGGAAACCCUGAUGCAGCGACGCCGCGUGAGCGAUGAAGUAUUUCGGUAUGUAAAGCUCUAUCAGCAGGGAAGAAAAUGACGGUACCUGACUAAGGAGCCCCGGCUAAUUAC
rnacentral:rRNA from 1 species